ACUGGAGACAAAAACCAUACGACCGUUCAGUUUCUCCUUCAACACCAGUGACUACCGAAUCCUGCAUAUGGACCAAGACCAAGGCCGGCUCUACCUGGGCAGCCGGGAAUAUCUGGUCUCUCUAGACAUGCAAAAUGUCAAUAAAGAGCCCCUUAUUAUUCACUGGCCAGCAACAGCACAAAGAAAAGGGGAGUGUAAAUUAACUGGCAAAGGUGGACAGGGAGAGUGUGCUAACUUUGUGCGUCUGAUUGAACCGUGGA